ACUUGCGCCUUCAUCGUCGGUUUACAGGAAAACACUGGGUGCAGAAGGUGCAGGCCUUCGCUGUGUCUUGCCCUGGAGACCGCAGCAUCAUACUGACAUUGAAAUCUGAAGUUGGCUAGUGCCUUUUCUUAGGGGCCUGGCAGCGCCACUGGGACAAGGGUUCCUUACCCUUGCUGGGCCUCGGUUUCCUCAUCUGUGAAAGGAUAGUGUGAGGGCCUUCAGAGGAACAUGGCACAUUACAGAGAAAUGAGGGGGCAGGGGGCAGCGUGGAUCCUGAACAGACAUUGACAGUAGAGCCCUUGGGAGGUUGUCCAUCGGUCUACAAAAGGCACUUGUCUCCUCCUGAACAUCACUUCCUUCUCUAAGUGACCUCAUUGUGAUGGAUACAGCUUGAAAUGGAUUCGUCUUACAAUUCAUUAUUAAAACAAAGUGCAGUUCUUGCAGCAAGGUUUGAAAGAAAGCAAAGCAGAUAGCAACCGGGAAGAACAGGGAAGUGCUCUUACGGGAAAGCAGGCCAUCUUGGGAUGCCUGUGAAGCGCUGUCCGUGGAUUAUAGGAGCUGUGGGGGAAAUGAUGAGAGAGUGGCUUUAGUUGGCACCAGAAAUAAAGGUCUGGGGGUAGUUGGAAGUCUAUGCUGCAGGAGUUGCCUGAGUCUGACUUAAGGUGUUAUCUACGUGAUAUAGAAGAAUCACUUAGAUAAGGUGAAGAAUCACACAGACUGAUUUCAGAAUUACCUGGGAUGUGUGAAUCCUGAGAAUGUGAAAUAAAACUCAGAAACAAGCA